rnacentral:rRNA from 1 species
AGAGUUUGAUCCUGGCUCAGGAUGAACGCUAGCUACAGGCUUAACACAUGCAAGUCGAGGGGAAACGACAUCGAAAGCUUGCUUUUGAUGGGCGUCGACCGGCGCACGGGUGAGUAACGCGUAUCCAACCUGCCCAUCACUUGGGGAUAACCUUGCGAAAGUAAGACUAAUACCCAAUGAUAUCUCUAGAAGACAUCUGAAAGAGAUUAAAGAUUUAUCGGUGAUGGAUGGGGAUGCGUCUGAUUAGCUUGUUGGCGGGGUAACGGCCACCAAGGCUACGAUCGAGUAGGGGUUCUGAGACGGAAGGUCCCCCACAUUGGAACUGAGACACGGUCCAAACUCCUACGGGAGCA